UAGUUCAGUUGGUUAGAAUGCCUGCCUGUCACGCAGGAGGUCGCGGGUUCGAGUCCC
rnacentral:tRNA from 1 species